GCCGCAGGUCACCUUAUCGCUUUGUUUUAUACAGAGAGGAAAGUCCGGACACCACAGCGCAGCAUAGCGGCUAACAGCCGUCGGUCGUAAGAUUAGGACAAGUGCAAAAGAAAGGAUGUACAGGUAAUGCUGUAGUGAAAUCAGGUAAACUCUAUGCGGUGCAACGUCAUGUAAACCAAUGCUUGAGGGUUGCGCGCCCGAUGUUGGAGGGUAGGCGGCUAGAACGUUGCAGUAAUGUAACGGCGAGAUAAAUGAUAAGGAUCUUUUAUAGAUACAGAAUCCGGCUUAUGACCUGCUUUUUUU
rnacentral:RNase_P_RNA from 1 species